AAGACAUUACCUGAUUUUAAUUUAUUUUGUACCCGAAAUAUAAAAAUCUGUCAACUUUAUUACCUACCUUAAUUAAAACAUGACCCAAAAUAAAAAUUGCCUGAAGAAAACAUCAUCCCAAUGUAAUCAAUUUGUUCAAUGAAUUUCGAAUCGAGAAAUCUCUUAGUCAUAACAGUCUUUACAAAUUUCUUCGAGCAAUCUUUCACAACAAACUUAUGAUCAGUUUCGUCAGUGAUUAUUAUUAGUUUCAGUGAUUAACUAAUCUUUGAUUGAAAAAUUGAUUACCAAAAUCCAAUUUAUUUACUCGUGAUCGGAGCUCGGAGCUCCAAUAGGUUCGAUCGAUUUGCUGUUGUUGGUUUUUGUCGGUUGGUAUUGAAUUUUUCCGAUCAUUUGAUGGUGGUGUUUGGCUCUUCACCGAAGCUUCCGAUGCAGAUUGCUACUUGGAGUUUGUUGUUUUGUUGAGCUUGUUCGCCAGUGGUUUGAACGGAGUAAAGGGAUGGAGUUGAGGUGGUGUUAAUGAAGAANNNNNNNNNNNUGAAAGGGCCGACGGUAAUGGUGGAUUCAAUGUUCACGAUUAUGGAAAAAAUGGUCCAUGUAUUGCUGGGUGUUUCUAGUCUAAAAAUAAAAAAUGGGACUCAGGUAUAAUUGGGUUUGGGUAAUGAAUGGUUGGUGGGUUUUUCAAUUUUAGGUAUAAAAUAAAUUAAAAUCAGACAAAUAUUUUGAGAUUAUGUCACAUGUUAUUUUGUUUGGGCUAAGGGUAUAUAUAAGCUAAAAUAUAAAUUACAGGGUGUGUACGUACUCAAAGCAUGAUGAUGG
rnacentral:lncRNA from 1 species